rnacentral:lncRNA from 1 species
GGGCAGGGCAGGAUGUCCUUUUCUAUUGCUCCUGAGUCACGGAGGACAAAUGCCAUUUCAGGAGUUCUGGACUGGUGAUUUCAGUUAUGUUGCAGAGGCUCUUAACCACUUCCCUAAAUCUGAGGGGGGAAGCAGCCUCAGGCUGUGUGAAGUAGUCUAAAACAUUCUGAUUAAACGCUAAAGGGGCAUUUACAAUGUACCCCUCAAGUUUACAUAGCUAUCAAAACCAUGCCAGGACCAGGAGAGCCUGAGACAGAGCAGAAUCUUUUACAUACACCCUGUCCCUGUCACAGGAACAAUUUACUAAGUGUGUGUCCUGUGCCUGAACUCCUCUGCCCCAAAGGGCCAUAACCUCUGUGUUUCAAAAGGCAGGUCUUACACAGAGCAUGCUCCCUCGUCAACACAGGGACAAGAUUGUGUUUCGUUUCCAAAGGGUUAAUCCCAGAGCGAAUUCUUUGCAUGUGUAAUUCAAUACUUCAUAACUGCUGAAAAUUGGAGUCCACAUAAUUUAUUUUCUUUGGUCGGGCACAUUUGCCUCAUGCUUGGCCGAGGUUGACUUCAGAGAGACACACCUAAAACUCUCAAGGGUCCCACGUGGCCCAUGUCAGUUGUACAGAGAGAUUGUGGUACUUGGAUUGAGCCCAAGGAUUAGGUGUUCCUGAGAAGGUUUUUUUGGCUCUACAAAGCCUCACGAUGUCAUGGGAAUGGGCUGCACUCCCUUUCCCCCCUUGGAGGCCACAUAUCAACUGGGUAUCUAGCCACUCAGAGACAGGCUUUCCACAAAGAGAGUUUGUUUCCCUUUGAUGACAGAGACAGAGAAGAGCACAGGUGACUGCAGCCCAUAUGCCUCAAUUACAUCUCUCAUGUCCUUCACUGUUCCCUGAUUUUCCUGGGAUAUUGACUACAAAGUUUUCUGCUACAAGGAAAGAAGAAGGAAACUUAAGAGAAAUGAAAAUUAAGAAAUACAGCUUGUUCCUAGAAAAUUCAGACUCCUCGAUCUUUAGACACAAGAUCGAGGUCCUGGGCCUUACAUUUCAACACAGGUCCCUCAUAUCCAUAAAGGAAGGAGCCAAGAAACCAGCUUUCCUGAAAGCAGUGCCUGUUCCAAAGGUAUAAGCAAAUGAGGAAAACAACCCACGUGUAGGAGUGAGAAGCUUUCCUACACAAGAAUUUGCAUGAAUAAAUGGUGGCUUAUGUGGCA